GUGGGGAAUAUUGGACAAUGGGGGGAACCCUGAUCCAGCCAUGCCGCGUGUGUGAAGAAGGCCUUUUGGUUGUAAAGCACUUUAAGUGGGGAGGAGGCUUACCUAGUUAAUACCUGGGCUAAGUGGACGUUACCCACAGAAUAAGCACCGGCUAACUCUGUGCCAGCAGCCGCGGUAAUACAGAGGGUGCGAGCGUUAAUCGGAUUUACUGGGCGUAAAGCGCGCGUAGGUGGUUAAUUAAGUCAAAUGUGAAAUCCCCGAGCUUAACUUGGGAAUUGCAUUCGAUACUGGUUAGCUAGAGUAUGGGAGAGGAUGGUAGAAUACCAGGUGUAGCGGUGAAAUGCGUAGAGAUCUGGAGGAAUACCGAUGGCGAAGGCAGCCAUCUGGCCUAAUACUGACACUGAGGUGCGAAAGCAUGGGGAGCAAACAGGAUUAGAAACCCUAGUAGUAC
rnacentral:rRNA from 1 species